CCCUUAGAUGUUCUGGGCUGCACGCGCGCGACAAUGACGUUUGCAACGAGAUACGAGACCGAAAGGUUAAGUUGAUCUAGCAAGCUGCGUCGUGAUAGGGACUGUCGAUUGCAAUUAUUCGACACGAACGAGGAAUUCCUUGUAAUCGCACAUCAUCAGUGUGCGCUGAAUACGUCCCUGCCCUUUGUACACACCGCCCGUCGCUCCUACCGAUCGAGUGAUCCGGUGAAUGUUUUGGAUCGGUUGCAGGUUGCGCGACGCGCUUCUUGCAUGCUGUGAAAUCAUGUAAGCCUUAUUGCUUAGAGGAAGGAGAAGUCGUAACA
rnacentral:rRNA from 1 species